UACAGAGGGUGCAAGCGUUAAUCGGAUUUACUGGGCGUAAAGCGUGCGUAGGUGGUGGCGUCAGUCGGAUGUGAAAGCCCUGGGCUUAACCUGGGAACUGCAUUCGAUACUGCGUUACUAGAGUUCGGUAGAGGGCGGCGGAAUUCCGGGUGUAGCGGUGAAAUGCGUAGAUAUCCGGAGGAACACCGAUGGCGAAGGAAACCGCCUGGGCCUGAACUGACACUGAGGCACGAAAGCGUGGGGAGCAAACAGG
rnacentral:rRNA from 1 species